CCCAUCUCGUCCUCGUCCAGC
rnacentral:miRNA from 1 species